rnacentral:tRNA from 1 species
GCGGGAUAGCUCAGUUGGGAGAGCGUCAUCCUGAAGAUCUGAAGGUCGCGUGUUCGAUCCACGCUCACCGCA